rnacentral:snoRNA from 1 species
CACGGGCAGUUUGAGUUGAUUCGCUUUUCAAAUAGAGCUGUCAAAUUACUGUCCGAAAAUUAUAGAGAAGGAUUGUGAUUGUUAGAAAUUCUGGCGCUAAAGAUUUUCAAUUCAAACACCCUUCCCACAGUU